rnacentral:rRNA from 1 species
CCUACGGGAGGCAGCAGUGGGGAAUAUUGCGCAAUGGGGGAAACCCUGACGCAGCAACGCCGCGUGAGUGAAGAAGGCCUUCGGGUUGUAAAGCUCUUUAAUCAGGGACGAAGAAUGACGGUACCUGAAGAAUAAGCUCCGGCUAACUACGUGCCAGCAGCCGCGGUAAUACGUAGGGAGCGAGCGUUAUCCGGAUUUAUUGGGUUUAAAGGGUGCGCAGGCGGAAGAUCAAGUCAGCGGUAAAAUUGAGAGGCUCAACCUCUUCGAGCCGUUGAAACUGGUUUUCUUGAGUGAGCGAGAAGUAUGCGGAAUGCGUGGUGUAGCGGUGAAAUGCAUAGAUAUCACGCAGAACUCCGAUUGCGAAGGCAGCAUACCGGCGCUCAACUGACGCUCAUGCACGAAAGUGUGGGUAUCGAACAGGAUUAGAUACCCCAGUAGUC